UGGCGGCGUGCCUAAUACAUGCAAGUCGAACGGUCUUUCUAUGGAAGCUUGCUUCCACUGAGAAGAUAGUGGCGAACGGGUGAGUAACACGUGGGUAACCUGCCCAUAAGAGGGGGGAUAACAUCCGGAAACGGGUGCUAAUACCGCAUAGUUUUCUUGAUCGCAUGAUUGAGAAAGGAAAGACGGCCUUUGUGCUGUCGCUUAUGGAUGGACCCGCGGCGUAUUAGUUAGUUGGUGAGGUAACGGCUCACCAAGACGAUGAUACGUAGCCGACCUGAGAGGGUGAUCGGCCACAUUGGGACUGAGACACGGCCCAAACUCCUACGGGAGGCAGCAGUAGGGAAUCUUCCGCAAUGGACGAAAGUCUGACGGAGCAACGCCGCGUGAGUGAAAGAAGGUUUUCGGAUCGUAAAACUCUGUUGUCAGAGAAGAACAAGUUGGAGAGUAACUGCUCCAGCCUUAACGGUAUCUGACCAGAAAGCCACGGCUAACUACGUGCCAGCAGCCGC
rnacentral:rRNA from 1 species